GGCCUCGUGGCGCAAUGGUAGCGCGUUGCUUUCCGGUGGCAGAGGUUCCAGGUUCGAGCCCUGGCGGGGUCG